AUUAAUCCUUCUUGGCCGGCUCAUUCCAACCUUGUACUUCUGCUGUGCCCCAUAUACAAAAUGGUAUUGUUGGUACAGUUAAGAUAGCAAGCGCCAACCAAAAUACUUGCUGCCAUUCAGAUAAGACCGUCUAUAUACACAAUAAUCCAACCGACAGAAUAUGGUGCAAGUACACCAGCUAUGCCACCCAAACCGUUUACAAUGGCCAUAACAGUAGCCGAAUAAUUGGGGGUCAUAUCGUUGGCAGUUAGUUUUAUGCCAGCAUAAUAGCCGCCCAUGAGCGCCAUUGAGAUGGUGAAACAUAAAAUUAUCCAUACUGUCUCACAACCUAUAUAUACGGCUAUAACCAUAAAGAGCCCAGAAGGUGUUGCAGCUAAUUUGAAAAGAAUUUGUAGGAUGAUAUAUGCUUUAAAUGAAGUUCGCAACACUUUACCUACCUACGAAUGCCAUAAUUUUACGCAUAACUGUCACAGAGAAUAUCUCAUAGUUCACGAGCAAAUCCGAGAUCACACCGGACAGCACAGAUAACAGCCAAUUCAUCAUAUAAGGCAACUGAUUCUGCAUACCAUUGAUGAUAUUUUCAAAAAACGUUUGCUGCUUGGCAUCUCUGAUGAACUGUGGCACUUCAGCCGCAUGUUGCAGCUGUGUCCAGUCAUACUGUAUGGUAGCCGAGAUGAGUGCCCACAUAGGUAAAUUUCGAAAAAUCUCCUUCCAAGGCGUUUUUGUCGUUUUAUGCCGACAACGCGCUAUUAAACCGAUUUCUUUUUGCAGAUAUUGCUUUUCCGUAACUUUGAUAAAUGGAUUUUCCUCUGGUGUAUUGUAACACAUGUAGGUCUAAAGUGGUUGGGUUAAACAAUAAUUUUUGCUUUUAAAGCAAUACACUUGUCGUACUUACGAAACCAAUGAACCACAGUAAAGUGCAUAUACCAAAGUAAUAGAAAAUCAACGACCAAUCGUAGCGAUGCAAUAGCAAGCCCGCAAUAAAAUUACCCAUUGAAAUGCCAAUUUGACUGCCACUUAAGACGAGUGAGCCGAGUGUAGCACGCUCUUUGCCCGGCACCCAUUUGGAGAGCAAUUCACUUAAUGCCGGAUAUGUGGGUCCCGCGCUGAAGCCAAUUAGCAAGCGUAUUGCUAUAAGCGCCAAGGGACCACCCCAUUUCACCACAGUUGGUGUGAGUAAUGUAAGCAAUGCGGUUAUGGCCAAACCAAUUGCCAACACCCACUUGCCCCCAUAACGCAUAGCAAGUUGUGCACUGGGUACAUGUGACAAAACGUAGCCCACAUAAAAGGAGAUCAGUAUGAAGUUUUGCAGCUGCUCGGACCAAUCGAAGUUGCCAGCUUUAUCGUGUCGCCUAUUGCCAAAACUCAUUAAAGUGCCAUUGCGAUGUUGUUCCAUGCGUUCAUACAAAUUAAAUGUACUCAUCUUAAUCGUGUCGAGGUUACGCAUGCGCGCAAAUUUCCGUUUGGGUGCAACGAUAUGCGCUAGAGCGAUAUCCAAACAGUGACGCAUUGUGUAUGCAUUGACAAUGGCGAGGAAGCCGAAGAAGCAUAAGAUGUAACGUUGCGGCACAACAUU